CACGUAGGGUGCAAGCGUUGUCCGGAAUUAUUGGGCGUAAAGAGCUCGUAGGCGGUUUGUCGCGUCGGCUGUGAAAACCCGAGGCUCAACCUCGGGCCUGCAGUCGAUACGGGCAAACUAGAGUGUGGUAGGGGAGACUGGAAUUCCUGGUGUAGCGGUGAAAUGCGCAGAUAUCAGGAGGAACACCGGCGGCGAAGGCGGGUCUCUGGGCCAUAACUGACGCUGAGGAGCGAAAGCGUGGGGAGCGAACAGG
rnacentral:rRNA from 1 species